AUCGCUUCUCGGGCCUCUGGCUCAGAUCAAGUGUAGUAUCUGUUCUUAUCAGUUUAAUAUCUGAUAUGUCUUCUAUUUGAGGACUAUAUAUUAAAUUGAUUUUUGGAACAGGGAGAUGGAAUAGGAGCUUGCUCCAUCCACUCCAUGCAUUGACCUGGUAUUGCAGUGCUUCCAGGAAUAGUGCACCUCCC
rnacentral:snRNA from 1 species